rnacentral:rRNA from 1 species
CAGUAGCCGCGGGAAUACGUAGGGGGCAAGCGUUAUCCGGAAUAACUGGGCGUAAAGGGUGCGCAGGUGGUUUAACAAGUUAGUGGUGAAAGGCAUAGGCUCAACCAAUGUAAGCCAUUAAAACUGUUUAACUUGAGUGCAGGAGAGGAAAGUGGAAUUCCUAGUGUAGCGGUGAAAUGCGUAGAUAUUAGGAGGAAUACCAGUGGCGAAGGCGACUUUCUGGACUGCAACUGACACUGAGGCACGAAAGCGUGGGGAGCAAACAGGAUUAGAUACCCCGGUAGUCCCUGUCUCUUAUACA